AGGGAAUCUUCCGCAAUGGACGAAAGUCUGACGGAGCAACGCCGCGUGAGUGAUGAAGGUUUUCGGAUCGUAAAGCUCUGUUGCCAGGGAAGGACGUCCUGUAGAGUAACUGCUACAGGAGUGACGGUACCUGAGAAGAAAGCCCCGGCUAACUACGUGCCAGCAGCCGCGGUAAUACGUAGGGGGCAAGCGUUGUCCGGAAUUAUUGGGCGUAAAGCGCGCGCAGGCGGCUGUUUAAGUCUGGUGUUUAAUCCUGGGGCUCAACCCCGGGUCGCACUGGAAACUGGAUGGCUUGAGUGCGGAAGAGGAGAGUGGAAUUCCACGUGUAGCGGUGAAAUGCGUAGAGAUGUGGAGGAACACCAGUGGCGAAGGCGACUCUCUGGGCUGUAACUGACGCUGAGGCGCGAAAGCGUGGGGAGCAAAC
rnacentral:rRNA from 1 species